rnacentral:rRNA from 1 species
AGUCGAGAGGGUUCGGCCCUCGGCAGACCGCUCAGUAACACGUGGAGAACCUGCCCUAAGGCGGGGGAUAAUCUCGGGAAACUGAGGAUAAUACCCCAUAGACCACCUAUGCUGGAAUGCUUGGUGGUCCAAAGCUCCGGCACCUUAGGAUGGCUCUGCGACCUAUCAGGUAGUAGGGAGGGUAACGGCCUCCCUAGCCUACGACGGGUACGGGCGUUGAGAGACGUCGCCCGGAGAUGAACUCUGAGACACGAGUUCAG